rnacentral:rRNA from 1 species
GACAAGUACUGAAGCACAUGAUGCCAGCUUCCAAGAAAAGUUUCUAGUGAUAAUUCCAUAGCGGCCCGUACCAAAACCGACACAGGUGGGCAAGGAGAGAAUCCUGAGGUGAGCGAGAGAACUGUUGCCAAGGAACUCGGCAAAAUGACUCCGUAAGUUAGCGAUAAGGAGUGCUCUUGUAAAAGAGAGCCGCAGUGAAGAGGCCCAAGCGACUGUUUAACUAAAACACAGCUCUCUGCAAAGUCGCAAGACGAAGUAUAGGGGGUGACGCCUGCCCGGUGCUGGAAGGUUAAGAGGAUUUGUCAUCCGCAAGGAGAAGCAAUGAAUUGAAGCCCCAGUGAACGGCGGCCGUAACUAUAACGGUCCUAAGGUAGCGAAAUUCCUUGUCAGGUAAGUUCUGACCCGCACGAAAGGCGUAACGAUUUGGGCGCUGUCUCGGCAGCAGACUCGGUGAAAUCUUAGUACCUGUGAAAAUGCAGGUUACCCGCAACUAGACGGAAAGACCCCAUGGAGCUUUACUGUAGCCUGAUAUUGAAUUUUGAUCAAAGAUGUACAGGAUAGGUGGGAGGCGAAGAGACGUGUACGCCAGUAUACGAGGAGCCGCUGUUGGGAUACCACUCUUGUUUGAUUGAAGUUCUAACCUGCACCCAUGAACUGGGUGAGGGACCGUGUCAGGUGGGCAGUUUGACUGGGGCGGUCGCCUCCUAAAGAGUAACGGAGGCGCCCAAAGGUACGCUCAGAUUGGAUGGAAAUCAAUCGACGAGUGCAAAUGCAGAAGCGUGCUUGACUGUGAGACAAACAAGUCGAACAGGGACGAAAGUCGGGAUUAGUGAUCCGGCGGUGCCGAAUGGAAGGGCCGUCGCUCAACGGAUAAAAGCUACCCUGGGGAUAACAGGCUGAUCUCGCCCAAGAGUUCACAUCGACGGCGAGGUUUGGCACCUCGAUGUCGGCUCAUCGCAUCCUGGAGCUGAAUUCGGUUCCAAGGGUUGGGCUGUCCGCCCAUUAAAGCGGUACGCGAGCUGGGUUCAGAACGUCGUGAGACAGUUCGGUCCCUAUCUGUUGUGGGCGUUGGAGAUCUGAGGAGAGCUGUCCUUAGUACGAGAGGACCGGGAUGGACCUACCGCUGGUGCACCAGUUGUUCCGCCAGG